CUGGCACGCGACGACGCUACAACAUCUACUGUACAGUAGUAACACGCUCCUGAGACGACCGUGAACCCAAUACGAGUUGACCGAGGAAGCUGCAGUCUCGCCACAAGAACAAUUCGGAGCUUCUACAAAAGUUGUCUUGGUUUUUACCUAUUGCUGGAGAACUCGAUCGCAACAAUUCCUUUCCUACUCCAGUUCUACCGCGGUUAGAGGAUCCUUCCCACAGCAUUUUAGUGAGUUUCCUAGUGUUAAACUACAAGCAAUUUGUCUCCCAAAAAACUGCUUUCCAGCAUCUUUAUUAUUUCUUCCACCCCAUUUGUGGGUCGUGAGCUGUAUUGCAUUACAUUCUGUGCAAGUAAAUUCAAACGUGUACAUAUUGGAUGUCCAGUAUAUGUAACCAAUAAAGUUAUUCUGUUUAUGGAAUAAUCCAAA
rnacentral:lncRNA from 1 species